GAGGGUACCACUGCACUCCAGCCUGGGUGACAGAGUGAGACUCCGUCUCAAAAAAAAAAAAAAGAAAAAAAAAACAGGCUUCUGCAGGCACUGAACACUGUGGUGGGGUGGGGAAGCAGGUAGGUACCUGGGUAGAAUCCCAGUAGGGUACAGGAAUAAACUUGGAUGAGGAAAAAAAUACCUCUGCUAACUUCUACCUAUUAGAAUUGUAAUCUUCUAUUGUGAAUGUACAUAACAAACUGCAAUGGUACUAAUGGUACAUGUGAUUGUAUUCACCAGUAGAAAUCCCUGAUAUUUUCAUUUUAUAUUACAGUUACCUCAGGGAUUUGAGAAAAAUUAUUUAUGCUCAAUGGCAUUUCAAAAUCAUAGUAGCUCUUAGAUUAACCAGUAGAUCUUAUUAAUGUUACUGGCCUGUGUGUUACUGGUAACAGACUCACUUAGGUAAGGGAUCAAAGGGAAAUACAACUUUCCUCUUGCAUGCUCUGUCUGCACAAAGCAGGAACGUCUGGAAAGAGCCAGCCUCCCAAUCAGGACUGGCCACCCUCUCUCUCUUCCUAUUCCUCUCUGCUGUCUGUGACUACUAGCCACCUCAGAUUCAAAGCAAAAGCAGAAAGCCAGAGCCCUACUUUAGUUUUUUGGCUUAAGCAAUGUGGUUCAACCCAGUUUUAACCUCUAUAUGAAGGAAUUGAAGCAGAAGUCAUAAUCCCAAUUAGCUACUGUAUCUUCUAUUUAGAAUUCUUUGAACAAGAUCUUCACAGGGAAAGAGAAGUGAAUGGUCUUAUCCAGGUCUCACACCUCUAUUACAAACCCCCUGUUAAUAACUCUAUCAGAUAAUCCCUCCAGUAAGAGGUUAACAUUUAAUGAGUGCCUCUGUAUCCUAAGGAUAUAGGUACUCAGCAAGUCAUAUAUACUAUCCUAUCUGAUAAAAUCAGCUGAGAUAUGGACAUUAAUUCUCUGUAUUAGUAGUACAGAUGAGUGAAUUGGGAUGUAUAGAAAUGUCAUAAUUGACCCAAGUUCACCCAGCUAAUAAGUGGAAAAUCUUGGGUUCAAACACAGGCUCCUCUGACUGAAAGUUUCGUGUUGAUUCUACUACUUUCAAUAAAGUCAAAUAGAACAAACAAAUUUUACUUCCCUUUUUGGACUCUUAAUAGGCAUGAUAUAUUUAUCAUAAUAUAUCAUGAGGAAGAAUCCCCCCCUCUACAAAAAUGACAGGAAUAAUAUUUUUUCUGGAUGUUUUCCUUUGGGUUGUUGGGGGAGAAAUUUUUUUUCUGAAGCACAUUCUUUGCUUGCAUGAUAGAGUACUUGGAAUUGUUUUUAGAAAUACCUGCACUGUCAGUUAAAGUUAACUCUUUUCUUGCUGAUGAAUUAAUGUUGGCAUAAGCCUUCUGCUAGAAACUGUUCUUGGACACAAGAAAGUUUUCUAAUUGAAACCCUGCUUUUGGCUCCUCUUUUAUUAUGAGCCAUUUCAGUAAGUGGCCCCAUCAUUUGUCCAGUUGGACAAGCCAGCAAUAUGGAAGCCUCCUCCUGUUUCACUGCUUGUAGUCAGUCCAUCACCAAAGUCCCAUCAAUUCCAACCUCCCAAAUAGAUCUCAAAGAUAUCCACUACUUCCUGUCUGCUACCACCGCUAUAGCAAAACUAUCAUGGUCUCUUGCCUGCGCCAUGCAGUUGACUCCCCAGGUCUAUUUAUUCCUGCUUCCUUACUCUUUGCCCUUUUUCCCAUCAUUUCUCCACAUUUCAGAUCCUUCAGUAACUUGCCUUUGCUCUUAGGAUGGCAUCACCUCUCCUUAACUUGACAAACAAAGCUCUUGACUAUUGACCCUAAACACUGCCCUAUCUUACCUUACCCCUUCAUCCUCUUUACUCUCUUAUUGCCAGUUUUAUUUACCUUCUCUAUGAAUCAGGGUAUGAUAGGUUAAGCUGCAGCAACAAGCAACCCCCAAAUCACAGCAUCUUAAAAGCACAAAGGCUCAUUUAUUGCUCACAGUACGUAUCCAGUAUGUAUUAGAAGUGGCACCCUGCAGGAGUGUGUGUGCACUAGAAGAAAGCAUAGCCAAUUGCACGCUAGCUCUUGAGGCUUCCAUGCAGGCAUGGUGUGCAUACACACACAUUUAUGUUCCCAUUGCAUUGGGCAGAAAAAGUCACAUGUCCACAUCCACAUUCACAGAGUCAGGGACAUGCAAUACCAGCAGGUACCUAGGUACCCAGGAGGACAGAGAAUCCACAUCAGGACAUUGCACCUGCUUCCUUCUUCCACAGGCCUUUAAACAAGCUGAUUCCUCUGCCUGAAAUGCCUUUCCUUUUAUUCUUUUAUUUUUUUCAAUAUUGCCCAUAUUUAAAAUACACCCUCCAUUCCUUGAAGUAACUCCUGUAUUAUUCUCUGCAUCUAAGCUCAAGCUUAGGGAAACCUUCCCUCCCUGGGUCAAAAUAUCCAUAUUAUAAGCUCUUAUAGCAAAAUAUACAUGUAUAAAACUUGCCAUAAUUGCAAUUUUAUCUUUGUUUGAAUGAAUGUGUGAUAAAUAUCUGUCUCCCAUAUAAGACUGUAAACUCUAUGAAGAGAGUGACUGCAUUGGCUUUUGCUCACCAGUGUUAUAA
rnacentral:lncRNA from 1 species